AUUGAACGCUGGCGGAAUGCUUUACACACGCAAGUCGAACGGCAGCACGGGUGCUUGCACCUGGUGGCGAGUGGCGAACGGGUGAGUAAUAUAUCGGAACGUAUCCAAUAAUGGGGGAUAACUAGCCGAAAGGUUAGCUAAUACCGCAUACGCCCUGAGGGGGAAAGCUGGGGAUCGUAAGACCUAGCGUUGAUGGAGCGGCCGAUAUCUGAUUAGCUAGUUGGUGGGGUAAGAGCCUACCAAGGCGACGAUCAGUAGCUGGUCUGAGAGGACGACCAGCCACACUGGAACUGAGACACGGUCCAGACUCCUACGGGAGGCAGCAGUGGGGAAUUUUGGACAAUGGGGGCAACCCUGAUCCAGCCAUUCCGCGUGAGUGAAGAAGGCCUUCGGGUUGUAAAGCUCUUUCGCAAGGGAAGAAAGCUCGAUCUCUAAUAUAGGUUGAGGCUGACGGUACCUUGAUAAGAAGCACCGGCUAACUACGUGCCAGCAGCCGCCGUAA
rnacentral:rRNA from 1 species